UUUCCUCUCACACACAGCUCCUACUACCUCGACUGUGACCCCUCCUCCUACUGUCCCCAUGGUGACCCCUGGAUUUAAGAAUGCAUCCACACCCCCAGGUCCUCCCACCACAACAACACCAACUGUCUCUCCAUCAUCCCCAUCCACGGAGAUAUCACUCACCACUAAGGCACCAGGAAAAGUUAUUGUACUGUACUCUAGCGUGGUGCUAGCUGUCACAGUGAUUGUCCUAGGAGCGGCCCUAGUUUACUACAGGAAGUGGAGAGGAAGAAACAGGAAGUCCCCAGAGUCAUCUGGCCCAGAGCUUCACCUAGACAACAUCACAGCAGGACAAGUUGAAGGUGCGUAUCAGAAAUUGAGAGUGGAAGAGAGAAACACAGACUCUCUCAACCCCAUCUACUCUGUAAUCAACCACCCCUCUGAUUCUACUGGUCCCCUCUCACCCUGCUAGUGUUACUGUUCUAUUCUGAUCCAACAUGAUUCUUGUCUACUGUCCUCAAACUCAUCCAAAAAGCCAAGCUAACUUGCACGUAAUCUACAAGGAGUCCGCCCGUGAUGCCUGCCUCAACUUUGAACAGAGGUUUUGAACAUUACA